rnacentral:rRNA from 1 species
CCUACGGGUGGCAGCAGUCGAGAAUCAUUCACAAUGGGGGAAACCCUGAUGGUGCGACGCCGCGUGGGGGAAUGAAGGUCUUCGGAUUGUAAACCCCUGUCAUGUGGGAGCAAAUUAAAAAGAUAGUACCACAAGAGGAAGAGACGGCCAACUCUGUGCCAGCAGCCGCGGUAAUACGGAGGUAUCAAGCGUUGUUCGGAAUCACUGGGCGUAAGGCGUGCGUAGGCUGUUUCGUAAGUCGUGUGUGAAAGGCGCGGGCUCAACCCGCGGACGGCACAUGAUACUGCGAGACUAGAGUAAUGGAGGGGGAACCGGAAUUCUCGGUGUAGCAGUGAAAUGCGUAGAUAUCGAGAGGAACACUCGUGGCGAAGGCGGGUUCCUGGACAUUAACUGACGCUGAGGCACGAAGGCCAGGGGAGCGAAAGGGAUUAGAUACCCCAGUAGUC